rnacentral:SRP_RNA from 1 species
GCUGGGUGUGGUGGCGCCCACCUGCAGUCCUGCAGUCCUGGCUACACAGGAGGAUGAAGUGGGAAAGUGGCUUGAGCCCAGGAGUUCUGGGCUGUAGUCCACUGUGCUGAUUGGGUAUCCAUACUAAGUUCAGCAUCAAUAUGGUGAACUCCAGAAAGGAGGGACUACCAAGCUGCCAAAGGAGGGGUAAACCAGCCAGAUCAGAAGUGGAGUGAGACAAAAAUCCCAUGCUGAUCAGUAGUGGGAGCAUGCAUGUGACUAGCCACGGCACUCCAGCCUGGGCAACAUAGCAAAACCCCAUCUCU